GAGCCGUUAGCUCAGUUGGUAGAGCAACUGACUUUUAAUCAGUAGGUCCAGGGUUCGAAUCCCUGACGGCUCACCA
rnacentral:tRNA from 2 species